UUUAUGCAAAGUAAUGUUUCAAACGUCUUUCAAGUCGACCCUUGUCAAUUGUGCUACAGAUGUGUUCUCGCUCAAGUCGAAUUUUUCAAUUCUUAUUUACGUGACAUCGUUUCUGACUGCGAGUAGCCUGGUUUAUAUUCUAUAUUCUGUUUAGUGCACAGUGGAUACAUGCUAAUCAGUAGCAAUUGGGAAGCCAGUAUAGAAAACGAUCUUUCUUCCGGAAAACAUAAAGUGCGCUUUUUUGUCUAGACGUGCAGUUGUGUUAUGGACUUGUUACAUCCGGUAUAAGACAUUUUUAACUACACUGAAAAACAGUCAUGCUGAUUAAUUAGAUAUUCAUGGGCAAGCAUAAUAAUUUACAUACAUUGCAUUACAGUGAAGGAGAUAUGAAGAUUUAUUCACCCCCUAAAAAACUACUACGUGAAGUAUGAAAAUCCCUAAAUAAAGCAGUCACUAACUAAAUGGUUAGUACAUGUAGUACAACUAAGAUAAGGGAUCAGAGAACUGUCUACAUUUCAUUUCAGUUUUAAGGAAAUCCUCAGGAUAUGAUAAUGUACUAGAUACAUAUACAUGCCGCUGUGUUGCGAACCUCCAAAUCCUAGAUUUCAUGUGACUGUCCGUAUUGAAAAUAAUCUGAAACUUGUUAGUGGGACGUUUGUUUUAGUUCCAUUACCCGGAUGUGAUUUUCAGAAUACUGCAAAAGAUGCGACUGUGCCAUAACACAGAGUGUAAUGUAGUAACAGUGGGUACUAUUUUUUUAAGGAUACAGUGGAUGAAUAUUCACACAUGCAAGAAAUCAUUCCGUAAGAAAGCAAUUUGAAAUUAUAUUUUGCAGUAUAUCAAGGAGUGAUUUAUCUAUCAAGAAUUUUUUCACUCAUAUCGAGAGGUCACCAGGUGUAGAUGAAGUCCAAAAAAUGGAUUUCUGCUAGAAUCUCAGGAUGGUUGAUUUGUAAAGAUUCUUUGCUUGGUAAGCCUUCAAACAUAGGGACGGCACGGAUGGCUUAGAUUUUAAGAUCUGGCACGACAAGGAUUCGCCCCCACUACCUCCCUAAGCGAGACUUCAACCACAAAAUCAAUUGGCCUCUUCCGGAAUAUCGGGAUGGGAAAUGCCUGAAGUGUUUGUCAAUAACGCGAUUUGAUUAAGCCUUUGUUCUUCACUCUUCCUGGUCGGCUGAUAGGCGACUUUUUCAGCUAAUUGAUUACCCUUUGUAACAACGCAUCUUCUGCAGUAAAAUAUACAAAGUAUCUUUUUCUAAUAUUACAAUGUCGUUUGUUUACAUUUGUGUACUUAAUUUACUUUAAAAUAUCUCCUUUUUGUUGGUUUGUUUGUGUUUUAAUUUUUUAAGGAGAUAGUAUUCCUAAAAUUUGUUUUAAUAGAUUUUUGUAAAAUUAUUAAUUUUUCUAAAUGGUUUUAAUAUUUCUAAAACCUAUAUUUACCACAAUUUCCCCCAUAAAACCACCUAUAUUUUUGUAUUAUUCAUAAAUGUUUACUUGAAAAUUCAAUCUAAAAACGUUACCCAAAAAAUAAAACCCUUCAAAAAUGUC